UUUUACAGUUCUACGGCUUUUCUCAGGUUUAUCUUUUAUUUUUUAAGAUUCAGCCCUAAGAUCAUGUUCUCUGUGAAUUAUUCCCUACCUUCCUCCUCUUCCCAUCUGUACCCAAGGUGGAAUAGACUUUUCUCACCUCUAUGUUCCCACCAUACCUUGUACAAACAUAUACUUGUAUUAUAGCACCUAGUGUCUUUAUUCAUCCAUUUUCUAAUAUUGCACUUAGGAUUGCAUUCCCAGCAUCAAAUGACUGACCAAUAAUAAGCACAAAACAAAUGUUCAUUGAAUAAAUGAAUAUAUUAAAUUUCAAUGGCUCUCUAAUUUCACUAGGUUGGUUCAUUAACGGAAAUAUUAACAGCAACUUAUAUGUACUUCUCCACUUGUUGCUCCAAGAGAUUUACAGCCUCUUUUUCUGUCUUCAGAUACUACUUUGAAAACAAGAUGAAAGCCAUGGAAUCUCCCGAGAAAAAUGUACAUCUUACAGACUUUCAGUGAGUUCUGGAAUACCAGGAACCAGAGCCCACACUAAUGAACAGCAGUUUCCUAACCUAAUGCGAGAGAUUUGAGAUUUCUUCUGGCUCCCAUGAUCUUCUAAUUGUCUUCUUAGCAAGACUAAACACAUCUCCAAGAAAUGUGCACUGCCAUGAAUGUCUUCCAGCUAUCUUCUAUGACAGCACUUCCCAGUGUGUUCUGUGGAAUAAUGGUACAGGGUGAUAUUCUAUGAAGAAAAAUACGGAAAGUAAUAUACUCCACAGUCCGUAUAUUAGAUCGGACUAAUAAAAAUAAAUAUGGAAAGUAAUAUAUUCCACAGUCAUAUAUUAGAUCGCCUACACAACAGCAAUUUGAUAUAGUUUAAUAGGAUUUGAAUGAAUAAAAUUAAUGCCCACAGCUACUUUCUUCUGCCGGUAAAUAUUUUUCUGCCCAUAAUCUUGCUAAACAGAAUUCAUCUGAACUUACGUUGUUGCCAACAAAUAUACGAACAAUUAUACCUAAUCAAAAACAAAAACCAAACUGAUGUUAAAGAAAAUUAAUCAUUUGCUUUGAAUAAAUCAACUAUUAAGAAAGCUUAUAUAAUUGAGCCUAACAGUGCCAAAUCAUGUCUGAGAUGAAAUGCUGCAUGAUACAUAAUCAAACAGACAUUUGCAAGAGCUGUGGGUUGGGGGAGAGUGCAAAUGUUUCCCAGCACUCCUGUAUGUCAUGGGAGCACACAAUAAAACACUUGAAAAGCUGCAAUAAUAAAAGGUUUAAAGAGCUGCAAUAAUAGGUUUUGCACACUGUAGUGGCUACUGACACUGAGAACAUUUUAGAAGUUCAUCUCUAUCAUCCAAACACUACACACCACCAUAUCUAUCUAUUACGUUUUAAUAGGAAUUCUAUACUAAUAUUUUAUCCCUUUGCAUCUGCUCUAUUUUACUAUUUGGGUCAUAUCUCUUGUUAGAAACAAUGUUUGGCCCAUCUAUCCUCAAUAUAAAUAAAAAGCUUUUACCACAUAAACAAGGUCAGUUUGUUCUGUUUGAAAGAUGGAGUAAUGGAACUAACUGUAAGAUAUGCAAUGUAAAAUUUAUUCCCAUUUCACCUUUAUAUGAGUAGAAAUGAAAGGGUACUCAACUAAAAUAUGCGUAACAAUUAGGCUUUCUGUACUAGCCUUCAAAUAAA
rnacentral:lncRNA from 10 species